rnacentral:lncRNA from 1 species
GACAACCAGCCUUGCUCACGAAGCGUCAGCCGUAUCCUUUCUGUGUGCAGUGGGGUGUGGGUUGUGUGGAGCCGCGGUGUCUGUGGAAUUCACAGGCUGGGGCCGGAAUCCAUGGCCCCCGUCGCCGCUGCCACCCCCCAGGUGCUGGGGUGACCUGAUCCAGGGUUGGGGUCUAAGCUGCUGGGGGGUUGGAGUCUUGGGCUCUGGCCCACGUCCGCCUCUGAUUGGUUCUACCACCUGAGCCGGUCACUGACCCUCCAUGGGCCUCAGCUUACCCUAUGGUAAAGUGAGAACUAGGGGGUCAGACUCCUUGAUCACCAAGAUCUCUGACCACAGCCAAGGCUAAGGGAAGCGCAGGAAAACGUGGGGCUCGUCCAAAUUCCCAGCCUCUCUCUGCCCCCUGGUGGACGCCGGCAGCCUAGCACCCGGGGGGAGAUGACCCCGACACUGUGUGACCUCUGCCAAGGCACCCAUCCCUCUGAGCCCCAGUUCCCACCGGUUACAUAGGAAUGAUUAUAAUACCCACCUCUUUGGGCAAUUGUGAGGAGGCAAGGAGAUAAUACAUGCAAAGUGCUUGGAUGGGAUGGGUACUAGCCACUCAACAGAAGGCAGAUCCUAGAAUGGGGAUGGCAAGUCCUGUCAUCAGUGAAGAAUGUAAUGACUGCAAGCUUAGAUGACAUGUCUGUUACUGGAAACCAGAGUUGUUUACUUAAGCUGUAAAUGAACUCAUAGUCCCUGGGAUAAUUAUCUCACCUCUGGAUAAAUAAACUCAACAGCCUUAUGUAUUUUAUUAAUUUUUCUUAAAAAAAAGCUUAAAAUAUUUUUCCUUUGAUUUGUUCUCUUUCUUUGGUUUCUGACUUUAUUAUGUCCUUUCUUUCUGCUUAGGCAUUUGUUUUAUUGCUCUUUUUUCACCAACUCAAACUGAAUGGUCACCUUAACAGUUUUAUUGAGCCAACCUUUAUAAGCUGCAGGAAAUGGAUUUCCUACUCUCCACCUUCUGAUUGGGCUUGACCAACGGGGAGCACUGGCAGAAGACAAGCAUGGGAGGAAAAAGAGAUCAGGGCUGGAGUGCAGUGGCGUGAUCUCGGCUAGCUACAACCUCC